AGAUUGAACGCUGGCGGCAGGCCUAACACAUGCAAGUCGAGCGGCAGCACGGGUACUUGUACCUGGUGGCGAGCGGCGGACGGGUGAGUAAUGCCUAGGAAUCUGCCUGGUAGUGGGGGAUAACGCUCGGAAACGGACGCUAAUACCGCAUACGUCCUACGGGAGAAAGCAGGGGACCUUCGGGCCUUGCGCUAUCAGAUGAGCCUAGGUCGGAUUAGCUAGUUGGUGAGGUAAUGGCUCACCAAGGCGACGAUCCGUAACUGGUCUGAGAGGAUGAUCAGUCACACUGGAACUGAGACACGGUCCAGACUCCUACGGGAGGCAGCAGUGGGAAUUUUGGACAAGUGGGGGAAACCCUGGAUCCGAGCCAUCCCGACGUGUGCGAUGGAAGGCCGUUCGGUUAGUAAGUCUACGUUUUGCG
rnacentral:rRNA from 1 species